rnacentral:rRNA from 1 species
UACCAGCACCCCAAGUGGUCGGGACGAUUAUUGGGCCUAAAGCAUCCGUAGCCGGUUCUACAAGUCUUCCGUUAAAUCCACCUGCUUAACAGAUGGGCUGCGGAGGAUACUAUAAGACUAGGAGGCAGGAGAGGCAAGCGGUACUCAGUGGGUAGGGGUAAAAUCCGUUGAUCCAUUGAAGACCACCAGUGGCGAAGGCGGCUUGCCAGAAUGCGCUCGACGGUGAGGGAUGAAAGCUGGGGGAGCAAACCGG